rnacentral:lncRNA from 1 species
GGGAAACAAAACAUUAUUUAUAGAAUAUUUACUUACUAGUCAAGAUUAACAAUUGAAAUUGGGAAUCAAUAUUAUGGUGAAUAAAUGGAAAAGAAAUCGAGCCGCCAGUUUACGUGAAUAAUUGCUAUUUAAUGUUUUAGCCUCAUUUUUCCAUAAUUUGCACCAGAUCUUAAGAUUCUUCUUUAAUGGCUUUACUCUUGGAAUUGCAAUGGACGUAUUAGCUUCCUUUUUCAAAAUUUUUGCACCAGAAAACUCUUUACAUAAAUAACAAUUUCAUCUUCCUGUACAAAAACAUAUUUUCUUCAAUCAAACAUUCAAUCAAAAAAUUCCAGAAUCUUGCUUACUCCUAAUUUUCAAUUAUGAAUCCAUCUAACUCUACACUAGGAACACCUCAACAACCAUCAAAUCUUCGUGCAAAUCAAUUUGAUGAUAAGCAACUAUGGAACCAUGUAAAGGUACUCACUGCAGCAGUGAGUGAAGGCGGAAAUCGGACUUGGAGUUGAAACUAUUGCAAUAAAAAAAAAAGUGAUUGGAUCUUACUCUGAAGUAAAGGCUCAUUUGUUAAAACUUCCAAAUCACAGAGUUGAGUGUUGUAAAGUUAUAACAGACUAUAUUCAUCAAUCAAUCAAAAGGGAACACGAGCAAGUCGAGAGGAAAAAAAUUAAAAGAUGAGGUCAAUGAAAGGAAAAAGGAACGAGUAUGUCUCAUUACCGAGUGUCUCAGAUUUACAACAGCAGCAAAAAAAAGAGAGGAGAGCUUGGACCUCUAGAAAAGACCUUCAACAUGGCGCAUAGGGACACGGCUGAUAAAGACGCUGCCAGAAUGUUCUACGCUAGUGCAUUAUCAUUCAAUUUGGCAAAGCCUCCUUGCUUCAUACAGUUUUGUAGAACUUUAGCCAAUAGUAACUUGGUUGGUUAUAUCCCUCCUACUUAUAAUUGACUGCGCACACCAUUUCUUGCACUAGAGAAGGAGCAUAUCAAUAGAAAACUGCAGCAUAUUAGAUAUUCAUGGAGGAAAAGUGGCUAGUUGA